CGCCGGCUGCGCGGCUCGGGCACCGCCGGCUUCCAGGGCGAGAGCCGGACCGCCCCGCGCGGCCGGCGGAGUCAGCCACGGCGUGGGAGGGUGGAGCCUUUCGUCCAACGCGAAGGGUAAAAGUUGCUUUUCAGUCGGUGCCUCCCGGCCACCUGGGCUCCCUCCCCACCCGCGGCGAGGUGGGGGCGGCGGGCGGGCGUGGUUUCCCGCAGCGCACCCACCCGCCGGGCAGCCGGGCCGGCCCCGCGGGGUGCGAGUGUAGGUGCUGCCUGUGCACCACCGGGAGCCUCCGGGGACCCCAGGGUCUGCCGUGCCCCGGGCAGGUUAGUCCUGCUCGUUAAUCACCUACUCCCUCCAUCCUUGCAUAGCGAGGGACAACGAUACGCCCGGCCGGGUGAUGGGGAGCCAGGUCAGUGUUGUUCUGCAUACAGCAUAUCAUACCACAAAGUGGACAUUCGUUCGCUUACGGGCUCCAACUCUCAGACUAACAGCUUUGGCCUGAAGCAAGUCAUUUCCGUGAUGGGACCUUAGGAAGACCUACCGCUUAAGGUUUGUAAACUUUAUGUUGAACUGUUUUAUGCUCAGACCAAACCCAGCUCUUUCCUCUCUUCUCCACUCAUUGCCUACGGUUACCACCCUCAUCUCUUAAAACCUUGCUCCACCCAGCCCCCAGGUCUUCUGAAAGCAAGUUGCCCAGGCUGGGCAGCACCUGGAGAAGGGCCACUCCCAGUAGGCUUGCCGAUGUCCUUAUCAGUUCCCGGUCUACUACAAUGAACCAGCACAAACCAGGUGACUUAACUCAGUAGAAAUGCAUGUGCUGGCAGGGCUGUGGUUCCUCUGAAGGCUGCAGUGGAAAACCCUUUUCUGCCUCUUCUCUGUUUCUGCCCAACAAGGCCACUGUCCCAUAGCUUUCUUUUCCUGUGUUCCCUCUGUCUCAAAAUUUCUCUUUUCUUCAAGGAUACCAGGCAUUGGAUUUAGGCCCAUCCUCAUCCAGUGUGACUUGAUCUUAACUGGUUUCUAUCUGCAAAGACCCUGUUUUGAAAGGAAGUCACAUUCACAGGUUCUAGAUAGAUAAGAGUUUCUGGGAGAACACUAACCUGGUACAUCCCCAGAAGUCACUGUGAGUGAACAUAUAUUGCCUGAGCUGAGGCUGCAGAGGUGUAAAUUACAGCCCCACCUUCAAAGAAACUCUAGUUACAGAGGUAUAACUUACACUCGACUAAAUAACUAAGCCAGGAGAUGCUAAGAGCCAACAGCCUGGGGCCACAUGACAAUCCUGGGCCAAGUGGCAGCUGUGCUGCUGAAGUUCAGCCUUGGGGACAGUCCCCGAGGAUACCAGGAGAGACAUUCACUCUUAGGUCAGGGUGAUCCAGGCACAUCCUUGAAAGAAAAGCAAAGCAAAGAUAAGAAAUGAAGGCUUAUUAGAGAAAUGCAAAUUAAAACAAGGCUAAGACUCCAUCUUACUCUGGAAAGAAUGGCAGUCACUAGGAAAUCAAACACUAACAAAUGCUGGCGUGGCUAAGGUGAAAAGCCUGCCUUUAUUGUUGGUGGGAACGUAAACUAGUACAACCAGGCAUGGAGAUUCUCAAAGAACUGAAAACAGAAACUCCAUAUGACCCAGCUGUUCCCCCCACCCCCAGCUAUCUUCCUCAAAGAGCUUAAGAUACCGCACUACAGUGAUAUAUGCACACCAGUGUUUAUAACACCACAAUUCAUAAUAGCUAAAUCCUGGAAGCAGCCUGUAUAGUCAGCAGCAAAUGAUUAGAUGAAGAAAAUGUGGUAGUGAUAUAUAAUGGAAUACUACUUGACUAUAAAGAAUGAAUGACGCCUUUGAAAAAUUUGUAGGAAGAUGGAUGCAAUGGUAAAUGAGAUAAAGCAGACACACAUGCUUAAAUACUGUAUGGUAUCUCUCAUCUGAGGCAAAGUACAAAGGAUAUGUAAAGGGUGGAUAAAAGGGACAAGGGUCAACUCUCCUGCAAUAGGGAAGUGGUUCAAGGGAACAAGGGCAAGGGCUAAGGAAGAGGGAAGGGGAAUAAUAAAGAUGUGCUGUGUACUUGAAGCCAGUGACCCCAGUUAAUGUAAACACGGUUUGUCAUAACAUAAAGUAUGCAAAAGGGUGUGGGAAUCGGGGGCGGGGGAGGCAAGGGGAGAGAAAAAAGAAAGGAACUGUCCUGUGUACAUGUAACCACUCCCAAGAUGGCUGUAAAUGGCACGAAUUGUGGACAUGUGCUAAUAAAAUAAAAAGUUAUAAGAAAUAUUUUUUGAAUACAUAAAAAAGAAAAAAGAACGAAGGCUUAUAAAAAGCACAUUUGGGUUGGGGAGGAGGUGUGUGUAUGUCUGGCAGAAUCUUACUUCUAAAGUUUCAGGCAGAAAUAAAGAUACUUAUCACAAAGGCCAAAGAAAUGUAGAUACGUACCACGCCAGGCAUAAGAACAUGAUGAAUUACUUUUACUGUGUACUAUGUCAUAGGAAUUAGCAGGCUUUAAAGUGCUGUCAGAGCUGGAGAUGAGCCUUAGUAGAAUGCUUGCCUGGAAUGCUUGAGACUCUGGGUCCCAUUCCCUCAGCACAGGAAGGAAGGAGGGGAGGGAGGAAGGGCCUCCUUUUAAAGUAUUUUCAUGUGAUCUUUAUGACAGUCUUGAGCACCAUCAGAGAAAAGAACACUGUAUCUUACAUAUAACCAAGGAUGUAAGUAUCAGGGAUCACAUAACUUGCCCAGGUUGGGGCUGGGGAUUUAGCUCAAGCUCAGCGGCACAGCGCCUGCCUGGCAAGCGCAAGGUUGUGAGUUCGAUUCCUGGCACCGGGAAAAAACAAAGAAAAAAAACCCAAAAACUUGCCCAGAUAAAAGAGUGAUUCAUCUGUAGAGUUGGUGUUAACACUGGUCUAGAUUUUCCUUGUUCAAGAAUUUUGCUACCACAAGAUGUUGCCUCUUGGGUCAGCCUUUCAGUAUGGAUUGUGUGGCUCUUGAUUCAAGGAAAGCAUCAACAGAAAGGGGCAUUCCUGCAAGAGAUGGAAAACCUGCCUGAAAGUGAUGUGAAUCCCAAACUGAAAUUACAACGAACCUUCCAGAAACAUCUAAACUUGUUUCACUAAAUUUGGUAAGAAUUUCCUAGUGUGCUGGAGACUCUCCUUUCGGCCUUCAGCCACUUCUUAGGAUUCAGUACCCUUCUGCAGACUUCGGCUGAUACCUUAAAGAAAUAAAGGUUAAAGGACACAGGGAAGUUGCAAGGAAGUUGAAUACGAGUAAAAAGAAAUUAUAUCACAGGACGAUGAGCCAGUGGCAAUUGGUACUCAGAACUCAGUGCCUGAUCUUAGCCAGGUAGACUCACACUCAGAAUCAAAUCUUGGUGUAUUUUGAAGACUUUCUGAUAAAGAAUCUGGAAUUAUAACAAGCAACUAGCGGCAAGUAGAAAGUCUAACCUUGGGCUGAUAUCUAAUGAUCUCAUGUGUUUCACUGGAUUUUUCUUUACCUAGGAGGCAGGUAACUUGGGUCCUUUAGUGGCUGAGUGUUUAAAGAUAUGUUCAUCUUAAAGGCUGAGAUGCUUUUGUCUAGUGUGAGUCAUUGAGUUCUGGCUUGUGAAAAGUGCUACCCUGGUUGCUAUGGGAAAAUAUAAAAAUAUAAAAGAUAGUCACUGGGCUUAGGAAAUUCCUAUGUAAUUUAAGAGACUUAUAGAAUAAAAAUUAUAUAAGUGUGGUUGCAAUGCAAUUUGUAAGUCUUCCUUAUCACUCAGUUCUCUGUUCAGAUGUAAUGUCUUAAAACAAGGCAUUCUUGGCCACCCUUUUUUAAACACUUGCCUCAUCUACCACCAUAGCUACUUUUGGCUUUCAUCAUGCCGUAUGCUAUUUCUGAUACGUUAGGUCAAACUAAGUUUGGUCUGAGAAUGGCCCUGUGAAUGGAGUCCUAAGCUAAUGAACUACAACCUAAGUACAUGUACAGACACUGGGCAUUUGCCUUUGUAACAAAUAGCUGAGUUUCAGCUAAUUGCAGCAACUGAGCUUCAGUCCAUCACAGGUGGUCAAGACAAAUGCCAAGCUGUGACCAGUUUGGCUGUACCUCAUUUCUGUUUUUUGUGUAUUACUUCCUUUCCUUUGGCUCUAAAUAUAACCUGCACAUGGAGGGGUAGUUUGCAGCACUCUGAACCAUUUCUGGUCUGCAUUGUAACCUGAUCCUAAAAUGGUAAAUAAAAGCCAAUUAAGAUUUGAAAACUAGUGUUAUGGCUUGUACCUAGAUCUCCCCACAAAGGCCACAUGCAGUCAUAGGUAGGGAUUUUCAAAAGUGGCUGGAUUAGGGUGUGUGAAUGUGGAUUAAGCAUGUGAUACUGGGAUUAAGGGUGUGGAUAAUGGAAGCCCCACCCUCGGUGUGGCUGACCUC
ensembl:lincRNA